AAGGAUCAUUACCUAGAGUUGCGGGCUUUGCCUGCCAUCUCUUACCCAUGUCUUUUGAGUACCUUCGUUUCCUCGGCGGGUUCGCCCGCCGAUUGGACAAAACAUAAACCCUUUGUAAUUGAAAUCAGCGUCUGAAAAAAACAUAAUAGUUACAACUUUCAACAACGGAUCUCUUGGUUCUG
rnacentral:misc_RNA from 1 species